UACGUAGGGUGCAAGCGUUAAUCGGAAUUACUGGGCGUAAAGCGUGCGCAGGCGGUUAUGCAAGACAGAUGUGAAAUCCCCGGGCUCAACCUGGGAACUGCAUUUGUGACUGCAUUGCUGGAGUGCGGCAGAGGGGGAUGGAAUUCCGCGUGUAGCAGUGAAAUGCGUAGAUAUGCGGAGGAACACCGAUGGCGAAGGCAAUCCCCUGGGCCUGCACUGACGCUCAUGCACGAAAGCGUGGGGAGCAAACAGG
rnacentral:rRNA from 1 species